AGGACGAACGCUGGCGGCGCGCUUAACACAUGCAAGUCGAGCGAGAACCUGGGCUUCGGGCCUCGUGCCCGAAAACCAGGGGACAGCGGCGAACGGGUGAGUAACACGUGGGUGACCUGCCUUCGAGUGGGGAUAACGUUCCGAAAGGAACGCUAAUACCGCAUAAUAUCCUGCCUUUUAAGAGGUGGACAUCAAAGCUGGGGACCGCAAGGCCUGGCGCUUGAAGAGGGCCCGCGCCUGAUUAGCUAGUUGGUGGGGUAAUGGCUCACCAAGGCAUCGAUCAGUA
rnacentral:rRNA from 1 species